GAGGCCAAUGAUGAGAAAUAUUAUGAACCAAAGAUUAUAAUUACUCAAAUUCUAUGUAUCUGAGGUCCAUU
rnacentral:snoRNA from 1 species